rnacentral:ncRNA from 1 species
AGUGAUUCCAUGACGGGUUCAGUACGUUAUGAUCUCAUCCCUCAGAGAGUUGGCGUUCGGUGCAAGCCAAUGGAUGAGUUAUAGCCGAAUAUCUCCCCGGAGAAGUGACGCUGAAGCGGUGAAUUAGUAGCCGUGUGUAAGCGAAACCGUGAGCCGAACGUUAUAUCGGCACCCUGCUGUAGUGAAGCGGGGCAUAAGCGCUGUUGAUGACAGAGCAUACCCAAUUUAUAUUGGAUGUGGUUUGUGAUGAACAGAAUUAGGGUGGUAACGCGAGUAUAACCUCGUCCCUUUC